AAGCUGUGAGGAAAACUGCGCAUAUUGAUGGAUUUGGGUUCAUCACCAUCGUCUGAUAGAAAGACGAGUCAGGUGCGCAUCUGAGCUU
rnacentral:snoRNA from 1 species